UUUUCACGCCCCGCUCAAUGUUAAGUUUCCCUCUCCAUGAAAAUUCCCUUCCCUCUCGAUGAAGCCCUCUCUCCCUAUCGGAGUUCAAACCCUCUCUCUCCCUCUCUAUCACAUCUCUGCACCUAAACCCUCUCUCCCCAGCUCAACCUUUUCUAAGCCGACUCUCACAUCUCAGAGAGACAGAGGCAACGAGGAGGUGGACUUCGGUCGGCUUCGUCACGAGGAUCGACGUCGGCGCCGUCUUCUGGAUCGUCGUCGGCGCCAUCUUUUGGAUAGUCGUCAUCGCGGGUAACUUCUCUUCGAGGUCCAGAGAGCGAAUCAGAAAGACAGUCGAAAAGGUGAUGGUCAUCGGUGUCAUCGACAGAGUGAACGUCGUCAUCACUCUCGUUGCCUGCUCGUCGCUGUCACGGUCAUCGCGGUCCUAGCCUUUUAGAGAAGAAGAUCGGCAAAGAGGUUCAUUUCAUUUUCCUCGACUCUCCGACGCCGACCCCGACCCCAACUCCAAAUCGUCUCUUCGAUCUCGGACCUCAAGGUAAGGCUCUCUCUUUCUUUCUGCGCUACCACUCAUAUGUUUAAAGAUUUUUGUGAUUCUAAUAUUACAGAGAGAUUUUAGAGAUUUCAGUUAUAUUGCUCUUUGAGUUUUGACUGAUAGUUUAGUUUCUGUAAGAUUCCGUUACUAUUUUAAUGAAUUCACUGGUGACUAUUUAACUUAUAUAUUUUUUGUAUUGUCUUUUGUUCUUCUGUAUAAGAUCCAUAUCUCUUGUUUGGGAGUCUGCAGGAUCUUGUGGACUUGCUGGAAUUGAAUGUGCCUCUCAUAUAUAAUGUAUGUUUAUGUUUUGAUUUUUAUUUAAAUCAUAUGAAUUCUUAAGUGCAUUGACAAGUAAAAUUAAUUGAUUGGUUUGUGUAGCAAUAGUCUAACUUGUGGAUUGGAUUUGAAUAUGAAUAUAUGCUUAUCAGAAUAGCUAGAGCUUGCAAGUUGGAACCACAUUAUUAAUUAUGUGGAUAUAAUUUUAAUUUUUCACCGCCCUUUCAGUAUGUAUAUCUUUUGCUUUGUUGGGAAAUCUGAUUAUAUUUAUAUUUUCCUUUUAGAUACAUAGACAGCUGGGGAGUGGCUGGACCAAGAUUCCAUAGAGUAAUGGUUUAUGAUUUUCCUCCCAUCAAGCACAGUACUUUUGUUAACUAAGUUCCCAAGUUGUUAAUGCCUAUAUGUUUUUUUAACAGGGAAUUGGGCUUUUACAAUUUAACUGGAGGAAUCCCACAAUCCAUGGCAUCUGUUUUAUUGUUGGUGGACCUCAUAUUCAACAUUUUUUUACACUUGAAUUUCUGUGACUGUCCACCCUUAACUUCAUGUUUUGUAAUGAUUUUCCUCAGGUAAUUUCUAAACUACAAUACUUUGACCUUUGGGGGAGUAAAAUAUCUGACCAAGGUACAAUUCCUUGACCUUUGUUGUUAAAGUUAGCAUCUGGAUUCAAUAUUUUGUUUUGAAUGAGGCUUAUGUUUUGUUUGGUUUAAUUUGAUAAUUGCUAUUGGUUAUAUAUAUAUAUAUAUUUGGUUCCAUUUGAGUGGGUUAAAUUUGGUUCUAAUGCAGAACAAAUCCUCUGUUUUAUUACUUUUCAGUUUUAUCUCUCCUUUCAUUUUACUUUGUGCUUGCUCAUUUCAGUUCUAGGCUUAAUCACCCAGACUAUAUCUUCUAAACUUCGUUUUCUUUUCUCACAUGGUUAUCAAGUUUGGCUUAAUCACUCUGGCUGAUUGUUCUGACAGAUAAGUUUGCAUUAAUUUUAUGGUGUUAUCCAAUUACAGGUAGUUGCUGGAUUAGCAGCUGAUGGAAGGCAAAUUGUUGGCAGGACCAAGUCUGAAGCUAACAACUAUGAAAGCCUACAUGGUAGUAUAUAUGUCAUUAACUUUCUCUCCGAAUCUCUCUCUCAGUAAAGCAGGUAGUACUGGAUUAGUCCUCAAGCUGCUAUCAUUCUAAAGUUGCAUAGAUCUUUUUGCCAAGUUUAGGUUGUUGCUAAACAGGUUUAUGUUUAAGGUUAUUGGGGUCUCUUUCGUGCAGGUCCUUCUAACACCACCAACUUGAAAAAUGUGCAAGAGGUCGAGCUAAGUCAACCCAAUAACAAAUUGAUGAAGUUAAGAUCAAAUUAGUGGAAUUUGUGAGCUCCAUUAUUUCUAAUUAUAGGUAGGAAGUAUGUAUGUAAUAGAAUAAAGAUUGGUU
rnacentral:lncRNA from 1 species